rnacentral:rRNA from 1 species
GACGAACGCUGGCGGCGUGCCUAAUACAUGCAAGUCGAGCGGGCCUCCGGAGGUGCUUGCACCUCCGGAAGGCCAGCGGCGGACGGGUGAGUAACACGUGGGCAACCUGCCUUUGAGGCCGGGAUAACACCGGGAAACCGGUUCUAAUACCGGAUGCGUCCCCUUUCGCGCCUGCGAGAGGGGAGAAAGACGGUCUUUAAGGCCGUCGCUCAAAGAGGGGCCCGCGGCGCAUUAGCUGGUUGGUGGGGUAAGGGCCUACCAGGGCGACGAUGCGUUGCCGACCUGAGAGGGUGAUCGGCCACACUGGGACUGAGACACGGCCCAGACUCCUGCGGGAGGCAGCAGUAGGGAAUCAUCCGCAAUGGGCGAAAGCCUGACGGUGCAACGCCGCGUGAGUGAGGAAGGUUUUCGGAUCGUAAAGCUCUGUUGUGAGGGAAGAACAGCUUCCGGAGGAAAUGCCGGAGGUUUGCCGGUACCUCACCAGAAAGCCCCGGCUAACUACGUGCCAGCAGCCGCGGUAACAC